rnacentral:rRNA from 1 species
UGCUAGGAUGACGCUGGCGGCGUGCCUAAUACAUGCAAGUCGAACGCACAGCGAAAGGUGCUUGCACCUUUCAAGUGAGUGGCGAACGGGUGAGUAACACGUGGACAACCUGCCUCAAGGCUGGGGAUAACAUUUGGAAACAGAUGCUAAUACCGAAUAAAACUUAGUGUCGCAUGACAAAAAGUUAAAAGGCGCUUCGGCGUCACCUAGAGAUGGAUCCGCGGUGCAUUAGUUAGUUGGUGGGGUAAAGGCCUACCAAGACAAUGAUGCAUAGCCGAGUUGAGAGACUGAUCGGCCACAUUGGGACUGAGACACGGCCCAAACUCCUACGGGAGGCUGCAGUAGGGAAUCUUCCACAAUGGGCGAAAGCCUGAUGGAGCAACGCCGCGUGUGUGAUGAAGGCUUUCGGGUCGUAAAGCACUGUUGUAUGGGAAGAACAGCUAGAAUAGGAAAUGAUUUUAGUUUGACGGUACCAUACCAGAAAGGGACGGCUAAAUACGUGCCAGCAGCCGCGGUAAUACGUAUGUCCCGAGCGUUAUCCGGAUUUAUUGGGCGUAAAGCGAGCGCAGACGGUUUAUUAAGUCUGAUGUGAAAGCCCGGAGCUCAACUCCGGAAUGGCAUUGGAAACUGGUUAACUUGAGUGCAGUAGAGGUAAGUGGAACUCCAUGUGUAGCGGUGGAAUGCGUAGAUAUAUGGAAGAACACCAGUGGCGAAGGCGGCUUACUGGACUGCAACUGACGUUGAGGCUCGAAAGUGUGGGUAGCAAACAGGAUUAGAUACCCUGGUAGUCCACACCGUAAACGAUGAACACUAGGUGUUAGGAGGUUUCCGCCUCUUAGUGCCGAAGCUAACGCAUUAAGUGUUCCGCCUGGGGAGUACGACCGCAAUGUUGAACUCAGAAAAUUGACGGGACCUGGACACUUGCCGAAUUUAGCUUCCGUACUAAGAAGGGGAAACUCUACGCCUUUGUUCAUCGUUUGCGGUGUGGAUACCAGGGUAUCUAAUCUGUUUGCUAUCCGCCUUUCAGCCUCACGGCAGUUGCGUGCCG